CGGCUAAUUUAAGCAGAUCCUUGCUCUGGUGAUUUCUGAGUUUGGUUUUUUUUUCAGUAAGGAAAGAAAAAAAUCACUGUUAAUAUUCAUUGCCUGGGCAGUUGUAUUUGGGUUGAGAAAUCCAUGAGGUCACAGGAGGAAUAAAAGUUAGCUUUGCAACAUUUAAGUACCUUUGAGGAUCUGGGCCCAAAGGCUUAUUCCUACAGCAUCAAAUUCAAUAGGAGCUUCCUGAAGUUAGAAUGGGAAAUUGAGAUGAAUUGAGCCUUGUGACAUAAGCCACAAUGAGGCCAAGGACAAGCAUUGAAACAGAAGACAGAUGUAGCAAAGGAAGAUGGAUACACUUCAGGACACAGGAUUCUGAACAUAAUAUUCUAAGGGAAUGUGCCUGCCAGGAGGAGGAUGCAGAAUAGGAUGGAAAUCAUAACACUGAGAUGGAAGAGUGAGAAAAAAAACCAGCAGCACAAAAUUGAAACUAC